CCCCUAGAUGUUCUGGGCCGCACGCGCGCUACACUGAACAGUUCAACAAGUCUUAACCUUGGCCGAUAGGUCUGGGUAAUCUUUGAACGCUGUUCGUGAUUGGGAUAGACCUUUGCAAUUAUGGGUCUUCAACGAGGAAUUCCUAGUAAACGCAAGUCAUCAGCUUGCGUUGAUUACGUCCCUGCCCUUUGUACACACCGCCCGUCGCACCUACCGAUUGAAUGGUCCGGUGAAAUCUCGGGACGGCGGCUCGGUCGCUUGCGUCCGACUGCUGAAACUUGAUUAAACCAUAUCAUUUAGAGGAAGGUGAAGUCGUAACA
rnacentral:rRNA from 1 species